UACGUAGGGUGCGAGCGUUGUCCGGAAUUAUUGGGCGUAAAGGGCUCGUAGGCGGUCUGUUGCGUCGGGAGUGAAAACUCAGGGCUUAACCCUGAGCCUGCUUCCGAUACGGGCAGGCUAGAGGUAUGCAGGGGAGAACGGAAUUCCUGGUGUAGCGGUGAAAUGCGCAGAUAUCAGGAGGAACACCGGUGGCGAAGGCGGUUCUCUGGGCCGUAACUGACGCUGAGGAGCGAAAGCAUGGGGAGCGAACAGG
rnacentral:rRNA from 1 species